rnacentral:rRNA from 1 species
AUGGAGGAGAUUAUAAAGGGGAAGAUGGUGUCUGAUGUGUGCAGCCAGACUUGUAAGAACAAUACCUAUCAUACUCCCGUCAAGCAUUGGCCUCAGCCACCGACAGGAUGGGUGGCGCUUUCUGUGGACGGAUCCUUCUCGGUUCACGACGGGCGCGCGUCCGCUGGGAUGGUACUUCAGAGUGAGAAUGGUAAGUUGAUCUUCACUACCUACAGAUACAUCUUCAACUAUAAUAACGCCUUAGAAGCAAAGAUCCAUGCGUCGAUGCAAGGUAUGGCCUUGGCUAUUCAGCACUCGGACAAGCCUGUCAUUGUCCAAUCAGAUUCUAUAAAUGCCCUGACCACUCUUGAAGGAAACACUUUGGUCAGAUCGGCCUACGGUCACUUAGAUGCUGAGGUUAAAGCUCUUAUGGUUGAUCGAGAGUUUGUUUCAUUAAGAUUACUAGAGAUCAAAAUAGGUUGUAACCGUGUGUUACAGAAGGGCGAGUGCUCCGCGGCUGAUCCGCGGCGGCGUGCUUCCAUCUUCUCACCCAACACCGGCGGCCUCGUCAGGUUGUUCCCGGCCGACCCCUAA